rnacentral:rRNA from 1 species
UACGGAGGGUGCGAGCGUUAAUCGGAAUUACUGGGCGUAAAGCGUGCGUAGGCGGCUGUCUAAGUUGGGUGUGAAAGCCCCGGGCUCAACCUGGGAACUGCAUCCAAAACUGGGCAGCUAGAGUGCGGAAGAGGAGUGUGGAAUUUCCUGUGUAGCGGUGAAAUGCGUAGAUAUAGGAAGGAACACCAGUGGCGAAGGCGACACUCUGGUCUGACACUGACGCUGAGGUACGAAAGCGUGGGGAGCAAACAGG